UUCUUCCAAUUUGUGUACGUAUGAAUUAAUAUUCACUGCAUAUGCGCUGGCAAUAUACAAAAUUAUUUACGCACAGGUGAAAUUUUGUUUUUGCGAUAUGUAGUUUCUUCGUUGAUCCUUCGAUUACUGUACGAAUACGUAAGAUUAAGGAUGUACUGGCUAUAAAUUCUCAACCAAACGUACACAAUACAAUACGUGUUAUACACAGAUCAGGAGAAUGAAACCCAGCGAUAAAAAAUAUUCAUACAUAUAUUUGUACACAGGUAUAUCCAUAUUAUGGAUAUUGUAAUAUCCUAUACGCCUUGAAUUGACGAUACACAAAUCGCAGUCGUGAUUACUGAUUUGCUUUGUGCAUUUCUUUGAUUUUGUUAUAGUAUAAAAAACGUCAUCUCUGUAUCAGCAAGUAGACGUAUAAUGCAAAUGCAACGUUAUAGGUAUACGCAGUCUUUACUCUGAACUUUCUGUUUUUUUUUUUUUGUUUUCAACAGAAAAACAAGGGAGAUUAAUAAA